CGCACAUUGCGCCCCUUGGUAUUCCAUGGGGCAUGCCUGUUCGAGCGUCAUUUGUACCUUCAAGCUCUGCUUGGUGUUGGGUGUUUGUUCUGCUGUACGCAUGAACUCGCCUUAAAUCAAUUGGCAGCCGACAAUUUGGUGUUUGAGCGCAGCACAUUUUGCGCUUUUCGCUCUAUUGUGGCGUCCACGAAGCCCACCUUUAUACGCUUGACCUCGGAUCAGGUAGGGAUACCCGCUGAACUUAA
rnacentral:misc_RNA from 1 species